AGUGAACGCUGGCGGUAGGCCUAACACAUGCAAGUCGAACGGCAGCACAGUAAGAGCUUGCUCUUACGGGUGGCGAGUGGCGGACGGGUGAGGAAUACAUCGGAAUCUACUUUUUCGUGGGGGAUAACGUAGGGAAACUUACGCUAAUACCGCAUACGACCUACGGGUGAAAGCAGGGGAUCUUCGGACCUUGCGCGAUUGAAUGAGCCGAUGUCGGAUUAGCUAGUUGGCGGGGUAAAGGCCCACCAAGGCGACGAUCCGUAGCUGGUCUGAGAGGAUGAUCAGCCACACUGGAACUGAGACACGGUCCAGACUCCUACGGGAGGCCGCAGUGGGGACUAGUGGGCAAUGGGCGCAAGCCUGAUCCAGCCAUACCGCGUGGGUGAAGAACACCUUCGGGUGGUGAAGCCCUUUUGUUGGUAAAAAAACGCAUCAGGUUAAUACCCAGCUGUAGUGACGGUACCCAAUGAAGAAGCACCGGCUAACUACGUG
rnacentral:rRNA from 1 species